rnacentral:rRNA from 1 species
ACGGGUGAGUAACGCGUGGGUAACCUGCCUUGUACAGGGGGAUAACAGCCAGAAAUGGUUGCUAAUACCCCAUAAGCCUCCGGUAUCGCAUGAUACAGAAGGAAAAGAUUUAUCGGUAUAAGAUGGACCCGCGUCUGAUUAGCUAGUUGGUAAGGUAACGGCUUACCAAGGCGACGAUCAGUAGCCGACUUGAGAGAGUGAUCGGCCACAUUGGGACUGAGACACGGCCCAAACUCCUACGGGAGGCAGCAGUGGGGAAUAUUGCACAAUGGGGGAAACCCUGAUGCAGCGACGCCGCGUGAAGGAAGAAGUAUUUCGGUACGUAAACUUCUAUCAGCAAGGAAGAAAAUGACGGUACUUGACUAAGAAGCCCCGGCUAACUACGUGCCAGCAGCCGCGGUAAUACGUAGGGGGCAAGCGUUAUCCGGAUUUACUGGGUGUAAAGGGAGCGUAGGUGGCAAGGCAAGUCAGAUGUGAAAGCCCGGGGCUCAACCCCGGGAUUGCAUUUGAAACUGCCCAGCUAGAGUGCAGGAGAGGUAAGUGGAAUUCCUAGUGUAGCGGUG